GCCGCGGUGGUGAAAUGGCAGACACACUAGCUUCAGGUGCUAGCGCUCGUAAGGGCAUGCGAGUUCAAGUCUCGCCCGCGGCA
rfam:Candidatus Magasanikbacteria bacterium RIFCSPHIGHO2_01_FTLL_50_8 rifcsphigho2_01_scaffold_16138, whole genome shotgun sequence.